GACGAACGCUGGCGGCGUGCUUAACACAUGCAAGUCGAACGGGCCUGUCUUCUUUUUUGGGGGUGGGUUGAGUGGCGAACGGGUGAGUAUCACGUGAGUAACCUGCCCUUCGGUCCUGGAUAACCGCUUGAAAGGGCGGCUAAUACGGGGUGGUCCGGUUGGUCCGCAUGGGCUGGUCGGGAUAGAUUCACUGUUUUUGGUGUUUCGGCGGGGGAUGGGCUCGCGGCCUAUCAGCUUGUUGGUGGGGUGAUGGCCUACCAAGGCGGUGACGGGUAGCCGGCCUGAGAGGGUGGGCGGCCACACUGGGACUGAGAUACGGCCCAGACUCCUGCGGGAGGCAGCAGUGGGGGAUAUUGCACAAUGGGCGGAAGCCUGAUGCAGCGACGUCGCGUGAGGGAUGGAGGCCUUCGGGUUGUGAACCUCUGUUUCCGGUGGUGAAGGCCCUGUCCGUGUGGUGGGGUUGACGGUAGCCGGGGAUGAAGCGCCGGCUAACUACGUG
rnacentral:rRNA from 1 species